AGUUUGAUCCUGGCUCAGAACGAACGCUGGCGGCAGGCUUAACACAUGCAAGUCGAACGCAUCGCAAGAUGAGUGGCAGACGGGUGAGUAACGCGUGGGAAUCUACCGUGCCCUGCGGAAUAGCUCCGGGAAACUGGAAUUAAUACCGCAUACGCCCUACGGGGGAAAGAUUUAUCGGGGUAUGAUGAGCCCGCGUUGGAUUAGCUAGUUGGCGGGGUAAAGGCCUACCAAGGCGACGAUCCAUAGCUGGUCUGAGAGGAUGAUCAGCCACAUUGGGACUGAGACACGGCCCAAACUCCUACGGGAGGCAGCAGUGGGGAAUAUUGGACAAUGGGCGCAAGCCUGAUCCAGCCAUGCCGCGUGAGUGAUGAAGGCCUUAGGGUUGUAAAGCUCUUUCACCGGAGAAGAUAAUGACGGUAUCCGGAGAAGAAGCCCCGGCUAACUUCGUGCCAGCAGCCGCGGUAA
rnacentral:rRNA from 1 species